CCUCCCUCAGUUUUCCAAUUCACUGCGGCAUUACAUCAAACACCUAGCAAUCUUCCAUGGCGUCUCUCUCCCGGCGAGCCUCCUUCUCCAGCUCGCCCCAGCCAACCGCCGCAUCUUCCACUCCGGAUCUGAAGCACCGGGUCAUCACCUGCCUCAACAAGCUCGCCGACCGCGACACUCUCGCCAUGGCCUCCGCCGAGCUCGACUCCAUUGCUCGAACCCUCGCACCCGACUCCUUCGCUACCUUCCUCAUUUGCAUUCACAACACCGACUCUUCCACCAAGCCACCCGUCCGCAAGCAAUGCGUUUCGCUCCUCACCCUGCUGUCGAACUCCCACGGCGACGCCCUUGCUCCCUUUUUGUCUAAGAUGAUCUCCACCGUCGUCCGCCGUCUCCGCGACCCCGACUCCGUCGUCCGAUCCGCUUGCGUGGAGGCAGUUUCCGCCAUGUCGUCCAAGAUCACGACGCCGGCUUUUUCGUCGUCGUUCUUAAAGCCAUUGAUGGACGCUCUGGCCACGGAGCAAGACUUGAACUCUCAGAUCGGCUCGGCGCUGUGUCUGGCCGGGGCGAUCGAUUCCGCGCCUGACCCGGACCCAGUUCAGCUGAAGCGGAGCUUGCAGCGGCUCGGGAAGCUGGCGAAGAGCGAGAGUUUCAAGGCCAAGGCGGCACUGCUGGUGCUUGUUGGGAGCAUUGUUGGUGCCGGUGGCGCAUCUAGCCAAGGCGCGUUGGACUGGCUUGUGCCCUGCGGGGUUGAGUUCUUGAGGAGCGAGGACUGGACAGUGAGGAAGGCCGCGGCCGAGGCGCUUGGGAAGGUGGCUACGGUGGAGACAGAUUUGGCGCCGCUUUAUAAAUCUUCGUGCUUGAAUGCCUUGGAAAGUCGGAGAUUUGAUAAGGUGAAGGUAGUCCGGGAGACUAUGAACCAGGCAUUGGAGUUGUGGAAGGUUCUUCUUGCCGGCGAUUCUGAAGAGAUUCCUGCUCCAAUUCAAUCCAGAUCUUCAACUGAUAAUGGGAUUGGUCGAUGCUCUCCUCCGUCAUUGAAAAGUUCCGAUGAUGCCGGUUUUAGGACUCCUCAACCAAAGAAAACAGUCCCCACAAACAGGUCCCCUCCAUCAGAUGCUUCUUUGGUGACCACAGCUAAAAAGGGAAAUCCUUUAAGUAGAAGCGAUAGAAACCCAGACGCAGCCGUGUUCUAUAAGCAGGACCAUAAGAAACCCUCUGAUUGGAAAAUUGAAAUUGCUACGCCAAACUCCCUCUCUUUGACGGUGACUCAUAAGGAUGAUAUUGUUAGGAGUGACUCUAGAGAUCCGGAUUCAGGAAAGAAUGACCACAUUGGAAAUGGCAAGCCAGAAACUAAUCACUUACUCUUUAGUAAGAAUCAUGGUGAAAAAGUACACAGAUUUGGUAGUUUAAAAUCUGGGUCACGUGUUGUUCCAUUUAAUGAUGACGAGAACUAUGACUCAGAUAUUGUAGUAGGAAAUGCUGCAGAAGAAGUUUAUGAGAACCAAAAGGAUGCUGAGGAUCUCAGUUUGAUCCGUGAACAACUUAUUCAGAUUGAAAACCAGCAGUCCAGUUUAUUAAACCUACUCCAGAGAUUUAUUGGGAGCUCUCAGAGUGGGUUGAAUGCUCUUGAGUCACGUGUACACGGCCUUGAGAUGGCUCUUGAUGAAAUAUCAUACGAUUUGGCAAUAUCAAGUGGAAGGGUCCCAAACACAGAAUCUGCAGAAAAUACAUGCUGCAGGCUGCCUGGUGCAGAAUUCUUGAGUUCCAAGUUCUGGCGUAGAACAGAUGGGCGGUGUACUACUUCAAGGCUCACUUCUGGAACCAUUCCCUCACUCAACGCUGUGCCUAACAUACCUAACAAAAAUACAAGUACUGAAUCGUGUACUUUUGACCGUGAAAGGUUUCAGCACCAAAGUAGGAGUGCAUUUACUGGUUACUCGGUGGCAGAAAUCCAAGAUGCUGAGAGGGUUCAAGUUUCCAAUGCUAGUUGUUAUGAUGGGGUAUCGCCAACUACUUGUACACCAUCAAGGAACCUGAACAAAAGCUGGAGUUUCGGUCAAAGUAAUUCCCAUGCGGAAACUCAUAGUGGAUCUUUUGCAACACUUUCAUGAUUCAUGAGUAUGUCUUUCUACUGAAAAUGUCAACUUCCCACAAAUUUCGUGAAAGCGUUCCAAAUUCAUCACCUCCAGUGGGCCACUGGCAAGCUAUGAUGCAUAUUAAGCAUCUGUUUACUGCUUUGAUCAUCUGCUUAGAGAGAACGAAAGUGGAAAUUGUUUGAUGGGUCAAUUUCGCUCUGGAUACAACCAUCAUACUGUGGGUCAUCGAAGGACCCGAACACAUUAAAUUGAAGGCGGAUGCCGAUCAAGUCGAUAUGUAGGUGCCCAUAAUUUAUGAGAUUUCUAAAUCAAUGUAGCAUUUGAUGCGCCGGGAGCAUAGGGCUCUCCUGCUACAUGUUACUCAGAGUAGUCUUUUAUAACAUGUGUUCUAUUUAUUACUAACCUGCACCAUUGCCGGUAAAGGGAAGGAAGUUAAUCUGUACAGAUCCAAGUUUGCUCAUCUUUUCUUGGAUUGCUUGUACUUGCUGUAUAUGAUCAAUAAGUUUUUUAACGCUAUAAAUAUACAAGUGGUAUUGGAAAAG